UAGCGUCUGUUCCUAAACUCAGCACCUCGUUGAUUAUCUAGUCAUUUCUUCUGUAAGGAUCUGUUAGUGGGGCAAAGUCGAUUGAUAUCAAGCGAGAGAGAGAGACAUCGAAGCAGUGAUGCCAGGACGUGUGCCCAAGCUCCCAAAGAUCCAACCGGUGGACAUCCAGGCCGCCGUAGGAUGGGGUGUCGCCGCCGUAGCCGGCGCCAUCUGGGUCGUCCAACCAUUUGAUUGGAUAAAGAAGACGUUCAUCGAUAAACCUGCACCGGAAGAGAACUGAUGGAUCAAACAAGAUGUAUACUUUCUUUGUGAUGUGACUGAAUAAGUUUUGGGUUUUUAUUUCUGGGGCUUUUUGGUUUUCAUUUAAUGUCUUCAGUGUAGACUUUUUGUCAGUCUCAAAUGUGUAAUAACACAAGAAAAAAUCACUCCCAAGUGAUCAGAAAAGAGGACUCAUUUGGUUUUUAUGGCAAUGUUGUUAUAUAUGAUCCAUAUGAAAGUAAAACAGAUCAGGGAUCAUAAGAAGGAGAGCUAUGAUGAUGACUGAGAUUUGUUGAGCUUGCCAUGUGGCGGUCACUAUCAUGAUAAUAUUCCUGACCAUGAUCAAACUACAAAACCCUAAUUUCGACUUUUUUUUUUGUCAACGUCCCUAAUUUCGACUUAUGUGGCCGUAGUUUAGUUGUUAGAAGUUUUGUAAGAAUUUGAGUUAAAAGCUUGUGUCUUUCUUUGAGCAACUCCGUCUCCUCCAAAAGUCUCCUGAAUGGCCAGAGAUGCUAAGCCAGUUCUAGCUAAUGAACGCUCUCAUAUACCCAUCUCACAGCAAGACCUUGACAGUGGAAUAGAUUCGAGUGAUGAUGACAUGCCCUCAUUGGAAGCAAACACAAAUAGAUUGAGACCUUUUGGGGUACAAUGUGAUGCAGAAACAACAGAUUCUGAAUCUUAGAAACAUCUGGUGCAUUUUUUUCACAAGCCUCACUUUAUAACAGUAUCAGUAUGUAAAACCACUUGCACAGCUGCUUUUGAUUUGCAAUAAAUUGAUUAUAGAUCUACAGCUCACUAGAUCGUUCAGAGAGUAGCCCUUGCUUGUCAUUCUACAUUCAAUGUAGAUCACACAGAUCAGUGUAGCAUAUACAUCAAAAACGUGAUGCAAGAAGUGAGCAGGAAAAAAAAAACAUAAACUGGGUUUUCAGAAGAUUCAAGGUGUUGUUGUUCUUUUAUUAUAUCUAUAGAUGUCAAUUGGGCGGGCCGGGCGGUUUGGGCGUGUCCGAAUGGGCUUUAUUUUUUUACUGGACAUAUUUGGUCGAAGCCCAAAUAGAACCAUGUCCAAAUGAGACCAAAACCAAAUAAGACCAUGAUUUAUUACAUUUGUUGGGCUGUCCAUGGGCCUAUAUGACCACUUAAUGUAAACAACACAAUUUUUCAGUUUUAAUAAGUAAAAUUCAUACAAGUUCUAAA